rnacentral:rRNA from 1 species
UGGGGAAUAUUGCACAAUGGGCGCAAGCCUGAUGCAGCCAUACCGCGUGUGUGAAGAAGGCCUUCGGGUUGUAAAGCACUUUUCAGCGAGGAGGAAGGUGGUGAGCUUAAUACGCUCAUCAAUUGACGUUACUCGCAGAAGAAGCACCGGCUAACUCCGUGCCAGCAGCCGCGGUAAUACGGAGGGUGCAAGCGUUAAUCGGAAUUACUGGGCGUAAAGCGCACGCAGGCGGUUUGUUAAGUCAGAUGUGAAAUCCCCGGGCUCAACCUGGGAACUGCAUUGAAACUGGCAAGCUAGAGUCUCGUAGAGGGGGGUAGAAUUCCAGGUGUAGCGGUGAAAUGCGUAGAGAUCUGGAGGAAUACCGGUGGCGAAGGCGGCCCCCUGGACGAAGACUGACGCUCAGGUGCGAAAGCGUGGGGAGCAAACAGGAUUAGAUAACCCUGGUAGUCCACGCUGUAAAACGAUGUCGAUUUUGGAGGUUGUGCCCUUGAGGCGUGGCUUCCGGAGCUAACGCGUUAAAUCGACCGCCU